UAAUACGAAGGGUGCAAGCGUUGUUCGGAUUUAUUGGGCGUAAAGCGCGCGCAGGCGGGUAAAUAAGUCAGAUGUGAAAUCUCGGGGCUCAACCUCGAAACUGCGUCUGAAACUGUUUAUCUAGAGUCUUGGAGAGGGAGGUGGAAUUUCGCAUGUAGGGGUAAAAUCCGUAGAGAUGCGAAGGAACAUCAGAGGCGAAGGCGACCUCCUGGACAAGUACUGACGCUGAGGCGCGAAAGCGUGGGGAGCAAACAGGAUUAGAUACCCUGGUAGUCCACGCCGUAAACGAUGAGAACUAGAUAUGGGUGACUUUGACCUCUUCCGUAUCGUAGCCAACGCAUUAAGUUCUCCGCCUGGGGAGUACGGUCGCAAGACUA
rnacentral:rRNA from 1 species